UACGUAGGCAGCGAGCGUUGUUCGGAGUUACUGGGCGUAAAGCGUGCGUAGACGGCUAUCUAAGUCGGGUGUGAAAGCCCCGGGCUCAACCUGGGAAUUGCAUUCGAGACUGAAUAGCUAGGGUGCGGUAGAGGGAAGCGGAAUUUCCGGUGUAGCGGUGAAAUGCGUAGAUAUCGGAAGGAACAUCAGUGGCGAAAGCGGCUUCCUGGACCAGCACCGACGUUCAGGCACGAAAGCGUGGGGAGCAAACAGG
rnacentral:rRNA from 1 species